UACGUAGGGGGCAAGCGUUGUCCGGAGUUACUGGGCGUAAAGCGCCCGCAGGCGGUCGUCUCAGUUCGGGGUGACAGCGCGCGGCUUAACUGCGCGAGGACCUCGAAGACGGGGCGACUGGAGGGCCAGAGAGGGACAUGGAACUCCGGGUGGAGUGGUGAAAUGCGUAGAGAUCCGGAAGAACACCAAAGGCGAAGGCAGUGUCCUGGCUGGUACCUGACGCUGAGGGGCGAAAGCGAGGGGAG
rnacentral:rRNA from 1 species